rnacentral:lncRNA from 1 species
CCGGGAGCGCGGGGCCAGCCGGGGUUCGUAGUCCCCGCCGGCCGCUGUCGACGAGGGGCGCGGCCGCGCCGAGGCACUGCGCUACGUUGCGCGGCGUGCAGCGGGACGAGCGUAUAAGGGGCUGGCGGCGAGCGCGGCUCAGCCAGUCCGUCCGUCCGCCUGCCCGUCCGUCAGAACAAUGCCAUCGCCGCCAGAGCCGGGCAGCCGCGGCUGAGGGGCGGCGGAGCAGCCGGGCGGGACGCGCUCCUCGAGCAGCGCCGCUCCGAGCGGGGGAGCCGCCGCCAGCAUGUGGAUCCCCACGGAGCACGAGAAUAAUAGCUGGUUUUCGAGGAACAGUCCCACAUGGCCUCUCACUGGAGAUUGGAGACACAGUUCAGAUACUGGAGAAGUGCGAUGGAUGGUACAGAGGAUUUGCCUUAAAAAACCCAAAUGUUAAGGUAAAGAUCAAUUACAGUUUUGCACUUUGGCAAAAAUGUGUAUUUACUUCUUAAAAAGUUUAUAGUCUCCAUAUAAGUAGAUUAUAUUUACCCUUAAAAGAAAACUGGAUCUUAGUGAUAAGUAUAUUAUUGGUACUGCAUGAAUUAGAUUUGGACAAUGAUUACACUUCUCAAAGGCUCUUGUGCAUUUGGAUGACUUUACAAAUCAAAGGCUCUGGCAAAUUUUCUUUUAAUCUGAUUUUUAGAAGCUAAGUUAUAGGGAAAAGUCUACGGAGAAUGGAAACUGUAAACAAUGUUAGAAAAGUUAAUUAGACUGUGCCUAUUUUCUUGAUGGUAUAUAUUAGUGCACAGUCGCCAUUGGAGAUGUAUAUGGAGUAUCAGUUGAAAAAAAUUUGUCUGUUUCCAUGUAAAAUACAUUUUUCUUUUUUUUCCUUGUUGUGUAGUCUUUUAUUUCCAUGGGAGUGUAGCUGACAGACUUCACUGUUUGGUUGGUUUUUGUUGCGUUCAGACAUGAAAUAUUAUGAUAUUCAUGCACUUAUUUUUUUCAUCAUUUGUUCAUCUUGAAUGAGUUUUAGAUUUUCCUAUUUUAGCUGUCUUUCUGUUUUCUUACUGUCCUGUUGACUGUCAGUAUAAAGUGUUUGUUUUUCAUAUGGGAAACCAUUUCAAGACUUCUUUUCCUUCAACACAAUACUGAAAUCACUUGUUUUUCCUUUAACUCACGUUGUCAGCUUAUCUCCUUUUUCUUUUUUUUUUCCCCUUUCCUUCUUCAUUUCCAAGCUUCUUCAGCUGCAAAGUAGGGCAUAUAAUAUAUAAAUUUCAGAAGUUUCUGGGGCUCCUAUCAUACAAGUCACUGGUUUCUUGUCCUUAAGCUUUCAGUCUCUGCUCACAUAAAUUUGCUUUGCUUUAUGUGGAGGGUCAGUGUGAGAAAUAAAUCUAGCCGGUGUCUAAUCUGACAUUUAUUACUUUGACCUCACUGAUAAAUAUUACAAUUUGAUUUAUAAGACAUGAGCAGUUGGUAUUUAUCGCAUCUUCAGUGUCUUUUGUUGCAGUUCUCACCACAUGUUUGCUGUCACAGUUUCUUUGUGGUCUGUCAAAUGUGUUGAUAGAAGUUAUGAAUAGGUUUUCUAAACAUGACUUGAUGUGUGAAGGAACGAGACAGAUAUUUUCUACUUUCAUAGAAAAAAGGAAGGGAAACAGUUUUCUGAACUGGAUUUUUGAAGGGAGCCUCUCCAAAAGUAAAAUAGGAACACCUUGUAAGUCAGCUUAUAAUUGGUAUUGCUCUGUCAAGGUUCUCCUGUUGUUAUUCCAUCAGCUUAGAUGCUCAAAGAAAUUAUCUGUGGCAGCUGGUCUGCAGUGCCCCGUGUAUGCACCAUCCUGAUUUCUGGCACAUUGUUACAAAUGCCAAAGCUACACGUCUUACUGUCCUUGGGAGAUGCUCUCCUGAACUACUUCACGCUACUGAGGAGAAGGAGCAUUCUCAAGGGCAGCUGAUGUUACACAGUAGAUGCCUUUUUUUUCAAAGGUCUAACAAUGUUUUCUGUUAAAAGAAAAUGGGGCACCUUCACAGUGGAAAGCUGUAUGUAGCAGGGCUUAUAAUAAGGAAGGGCACACUUACAUUUUCCUUCACUGAAUUAUGUAGCUAGCGGUAGUGUAUUAUGUUCUAAGCCAGUAUAUAGAAUCUGAAUUGCUUAAUUUUGCUUACCAUUAUGACUAAUGAAGGUUAGUGUGGUGCAAGUGCUGUGACACUGUUAUCCAUGCAAAAGAACAGUGAAGAAUGCUUGGCUAACUAGAAAGGACCACUCCUGUCUGAACACUGAGGCUCUUUGGUGUGCAUCUACUGCACCUUUCAGGUUUGCUGCAUGGCACAGUAACUCAUAAAUAAAGUUUUAUUUCUUAAUUUAUCUUUAUUUAUUUUUAUUGGAAUUCAUUAAUUUCAUUUAUUUUGCAAAUCUGUACUGAAGAGAUCUUGUUAAGAUCGUGUUGGUAAAAAUUUCUCAGUGGGAAUAUUAAUAAAUUAUUUAGGAUAAAUGCGCUGUCAAGCAAUCUUAUACAUGCUUUACAACUUUAUCUUCUAAUUUUCUUAAAUAUUGAAAGACUAAAACUCUACUAAAGACAUUUUUGUUUCCUUUAGAUCUGCACUGAGUAUAUAUUGAAUUCUUUUUUGUGUAUGCUUGUUGGUAAUUAUUUGGAGGACUUUUAAUUCAGCAUGCAUUUGCAUAUAAAAUGCUGCUUUAAGAUUAUUCUCCAAACUCACUAAAGGGAAUUUUUUUCAUUGUUUUUACCUAACCUAUUCUGUUUUUCAGGGUAUCUUUCCAUCCAACUACAUUCACUUGAAAAAUGCAUGCGUUAAGAACAAAGGGUAGGUGAAAUUUGGGGGAUUCAGAUAUUUAAACAUGGUAAUUUACUUGUGCCAAAGAUCAUUUGCGAAUCUGGCAGGGAGUGAUGAUUUCAUUAUAAUAUUUCAUCUCCAGCCUUUGGCCAGAAGACUUGAAAUGGCUGUCCUUAGCUAACAUGGUGCUCCUGUGUGGUAAUGAAAUCAGUGUGUUAUAUGCUUGAAGAACAUGCUGUACAGCUGGGAAUGUCAGUCAGUGUUGUCCAGAGUAAAGAGAAAACAAUCACAUCUUCACUGCCUGUUGUUAAGUUUGGUUUAGAAAAAAGUUCUUGCCCUAAUUACACAUUAUUCUGUACAGAAAUAUUUGUUUAAGAUUAGUAGUUGUUUUCUUUAAAGAGACCAGCUGUACCAUGGCAGACCGCUGACAUUUUACAAAAACAAAUGUUAAGAUUAAGUGUCAAUUCAGUGGCAAAAUAUUUCACCAAAACUGUAAAGGAAUAGAGAUGUUCUUCCCUUACUGCCUUCCUUCAGAUGAUGAAAAGCAAAUAUCUAUUCUUGAUAAUGACUGAUCUCAUGUCAUUUUUAGAAGAGUUAAGAAAAAAAAAGAACAAUAGAUUAAAAUUAGUACAAAGUUUUUUGAAACUAAAAUGUUCUGAGUAAAAUAAAGUGAUUUUUUUUUGGAAAUUUAAUACUUUCUUUGAAAGUAUCACUUUUAAAUAAUUAUACUUGGCAGUGAUGUUAACACAGUCUUUUCCAAAGUUUUACGUAAUUUGGGAGUGUCCACAUUUAUGUAAUGGUUUAAAACCUCUUAAAAUAAAAGCAUUUAGUAUCAAAUUAGAUGGAGGCCUACAAAACAGGUGCGGAUGACUUUGAUUUUGGGUGCUUGGAUGAAUGUGUAGGUCAGUGUUUCCUGACUGGCAAAAAUGAACCUUGAAGACUGAUUUAUAUAUUUAAAUAAAUAUUUGAAAGUCUCAUUCACACAGGUAAAAAUGAGAAUUGCAAUGCUACUAAAAAGAGUUGUUUGCUGUAGAGUUCAGUGUACCCAUGGUUUAUUGUACCAUGGGUACAGGAUCAUUUCUCCUUUGGAAGUGAUUGUAGAUUAAGUUGAGGGUUUACUGAAAUAAAAUUGUUGUAAACUGUCAACAAAGCUUAAAUGUAGAAUAAUUUUUUCUUAGCAGACGCAGUGACAACAUUUGCAGGGAGUUCAAUCUUAUUUGUCUGUAUUUUCUUCUGUAGUCAGUAUUUCCUGUUCAGGUGAUGUACAGAGCAUCAGGGGCUCUCACACUGUUGUGUUAACUUGAUGGAAGGGAAAUUAUAUCAUGAGAAAGGUACUUUAGGUGUGAAUGCAGACUUUAAAAUGUACUGUGUGUAAGAACAAAGUGAUAGCGAUGAUGGUGUAUAAAGUGAUGGUGUGAUUUAGAGUUUGAUCACACUCUUGAUCAAGCCAACUCAGGUUUUUCUAGCUCAGCACUGAAGAGUAAGGAACUCACUCACACUGUACCAAUUUUAUUUUCAAGUCUAAUAUACAUGUUCAGCUGAAGAAAUGACAUUCUCUGUCUUAUUUCUAUAAACAGAUGUGUUUAAAAAGUGUGGCAGCAGUCGCUGAUUUGCAGUCUAAGCUAAAGUGGCAAGAUCAUUUUGAAAUCCUUUGAAAAGCAUGGGAAUUACUUUGACAUAAAAGUAGCGUUUGAUGUGCUUAUCUCAUGGUAAAAUGCUUGCCUUGACUUCUCUAGGACCAAUACUUUCCAUGAAGAUUAAAGAAAAUGUAUAAAUAAAAAGUCUAGUGGGUUGAAGGAACUCCCUUGUAAUUUAAUUGACAUUGCUGUUGGCAGGAGGAAGUCUUUAUGUUAGUAACUGUACUGUGAUUUAUAAUGCUUAUGUAAUACCAUGUGUUCCUCUGCACGUUUCAGACAAUUUGAAAUGGUUAUUCCAACAGAAGACUCUGUUAUUACAGAGAUGACAUCAACUUUAAGAGACUGGGGAACGAUGUGGAAACAACUCUAUGUGGCAAGUACUUUGAAUAAGUUGCUUUGAAUACCAGCUCAAAAGACCAGAUAUGUCGUUAAAAUAUAGCUUUUCCUGCAUGAAAGAAAGGAAAAAGAUGAUUGGAGGUAGUGGACAUUUUGUGAAUCUCUUUUCCUGUAGGAUUUAUUUGAUUGUUGCUUUUCUAUUUUAAUUUAACUUGUCUUUUGUGGUUUACUGCUCACUCUGACCAAAUAAAUAAGUCAGAGAAUCUACAAUUCUUGUUUUAAUAUAACUUCAAAAAUAAUUAAAUGUGGAAAUGAGAUGUCAGACUCCUCGACUAGUAUUAUUAUUAUACCUAUAGAUUAUAAUAGCAGAUCCAAUGCAUUAAUUGAGAGAAAAUGAUCUUCUUAAUGGUUGAGUGACCAGAUUAUGUAUAUGCAAAAAGAAGAAACAAAAAGACAUUAUUAAUAAACAGUAUAAAAAAGAACUGCAUUUUCAGGCAAAGUUUUGUAUAAACAACAUUAAAUUUUCAGUUGCAGAAAGUCUCUAAGCCAGUUGAUUUGAUUCGUACUCAUUUUCUCAUAGGUCUUAUUUUCUCUUACAUCUACACAUUCAUAAGUACCAAGGCAUGUCCAUUUUACUUGACCAGGGUCUCUUGUAUAUGACAUAGUGAUCAAAGGAUGCCAGCUGUUGAGUCCUCACUGACAAGGGGAGCCGGAAGUGGUUCUUGAGUAACAGCAAUGAGCAAAUUUUGGGCCUAGCAGUUACACACUUCUGAAGUGGCGUCUGGUACUUCUGCCUUAUUACUUUGUCUCACACUUCAUGUGUCUUCAGCAAAAGUCCCAUGUUUCUCAGUUCUCUUAUUUUCCUUAUCUGGAUAUGGUGUGGUGCUGUUUUUUUUCUCUUUCUUCCUGAUGUCAUCACUUCUGUUUGUUUUGUCACCCUUGCUUGACUGAAAUCACACUUAAGGUGCUCUGUGGCAAUUAAUAUAUACUGUCCCUUUAAUUUAUUCCUAUGUAUACAUUUUCAUAUUUCAUUUGCACUUGUCUUACAAAUUCUAUUACAACUACUUACAGAAGGUCCCUCUCUGAACUUACUUUGUUCUUCAUAGUGAAAAAUUCUACCAUUUGCAUCACUUAAUUGGCUGCCACUAUGGAUAGAAUUUAUUUGGUUUUGGUAUACUUAAAACACAUAUAAAACUGUUUAGUCUUUAAUCUCUCUAUUUUGACUGAAAUUUAGUCUUCUCUCACCAUUCUGUAUCUUUUCAAUUUUUUUUUAAUCCUUAUAAUCUAACUUGGAAUAAUUAUCAUCAAUUCCCUCAUCUCAUACCUCCUGUUUCCUCUCUUCACUUGGGUAUUUUUUUUUUUAACUUUCCCUGUGGAGUUGUCUUUAAAGACUGAAAUGAAAUAUUUAAAGCGUUGCCUCCAUUUAAACUUACUAAAUUGUGAUUUGUAUUGUGAUCGUCUUUGGUUCUUAACAUUUCACCUUCUGAUCUGCUACACUGAAUCCUAACCAUGACUUAAACUUGAUACCAUGUGCAUGAAUCAGAUGGAAUCAAAAUGUUUUCCCUUGCAUCUCCACAGUUUCCCUGCAUCUCCUCAUAGUUCAGACCUCCAAGCCCUGGUCUUAACUCCUUGCCAAACUUGAUGAUUAUGACUUAAACUGUGAGAAGCUUAGCUAUCUUCUCUUAUGUAAUAAAGUCCAUAAGUCAGGAUGAUUCAGAAGCAGCUGGACUGCUUCCUUUUGAGUGAUGAUUGUAGGGAUUGUGUUCAGAGUGACUACUCAGAACCAGGCGACACUUCUGAAACCUGCAGUUGGUACAGUGGCUAGUUUGCUUAGUGAAAGCUUUCCUGAAAGAACCUAAAAGAUCAUGUUGAAUUCAGUGUUAUACAGUAUCAAAUUAGACUUGACAGUCAAGCUAAAAAGUUUAGCAGUAUGAACUGUUUCUGAGGUGAGCUUCAAAACUAUAUUGAGAGUUCUCUAGAUUACAAUGGGAAGUUUUUUACCUAACUGUCUUAAGCACAUCUAAGUGUAAUUGCUUUCUGUGCUUACAUAUGAGGAAGGGUAUUAGUGGAAAAGAAGCAAAAUCACAAUCUGCUUUAGUAGAGAACCAAAUCUAUAAAGCAGACACGUUUGCUUGCAGGGCCACUCAGCGCUCUGAGAUGUAAGAAACUCAGACAUAUGCUAAACCUUUGGAAAAAAGGGUGCUGCCUUGAAAACGUCAUUUGGAGCUUAGUGUUGUUGUGAAAUACUAGCAGGUCUCUUGUAUUCUGCUAAAUAUUUUACCUCAGUAGAGUUUAUCAUCGCGUAUCAAAAAGAAAGAUACACAUGAAUCAGUGAUUAUUUGAUUUUUUUUUCUUUUUAAUGAAAGAUGAAAUCUCUGUAACUAAUGGAAAACUGUGAGCACAAGCAAUCAGCCUAUGCACCGCUCCCAUAAAGACUUUUUCAGUUUCUUGCUUUUAGACACAAUUUACGUGACCUGGUUUUUUGGCUUUCUUUUACUUAUAAAGUUCAUAUAUUCUGUUGUUCUUACUGAAGCUGACUCUUUUUCAGCAACCUUUUUCUUCGCUGAUGUUAUUACUGUGUGUUCGAAACACACUGAUUUUCCUUUUUUUCUCCAGACAGCCAAAAGAAACAAUAAAUCAGUGCUUAUUUUAGCGAGCUUAUGAAGUGAAUGAAUGUGAAAUAAAAAAGGCAAAUUUGUCACACAGCAGUGUUCUUCAGAGCUCGUGGAAUAUAAAGUGUACUGACAGAGAAUAAUGAUGCUUCUAAGUGAGUUUUAUCUUUUCAUGGCAAUUAUCUAGCAGUAAUAGCUGAAAUUUGGUUUUAUGUCAUUUUUUUUUUCUUAGGAAGAAGUAAAAGGGAAAUGAGUGGCUUAGGGUGGUUACUUUUUUGUGUUGUUUGUUUUUUAGCAAAAAUAAGCAGAACAGAUCUGAAUUUUCAAUGUUUUUUUUGUGAUGCAUCACUUAAUAGAAGUUGCAAUAAUUUCCUCAAGCUACAGUUUCUUAGAAAAAUUAUAUUAAGUAAAACUACCUACAGUAAAGCGAAGGAAGAGUUAAAAGAACUUCUGCUGUUAGGGAGGAAACCAUCAUGGGAAAUGGUUUAUGUCAUUAACUGGUACGUAAUUAGAGUAGGAGGAUGUGUUUUAUUCAUAUUCAUGUAAUUUCUUCUAUUUUGCAGUUAGAUGAAGCAGAACCGUCUGGAAGAGAUUUCUGUCUACAUGAGUCUAUUUAUUUACAGUUAGGCCAUGCUGUGUACAUUUAUGUCCCUGAAAGAGUUAAAAGAACUUUGAUGCUAUGUGAUUCGGAGUUUGAAUUCUAGGAGUUGUUCCCUUUUGAUCCCCUUAUGUGUGUGAGUUCAAAUGGUCUUGAAUUAUGCUGUCACGGUUCCAGUUUUGAUGAAACAACAUAUAAUGAAAAUGCUUUCAGAAUAAAACAGUGCUGUGACAUUCAACAAAUUUUUAUUGAAUCUUUGUCAUAUCUGUCAUAUAAAUCAGGCUGUGUAAACGUGUGGUGUUAGGAGUUUGAGUGAAAUUUUAGAGUGCAAAGGCAUUACCUGUGGUAAGAUCUGAAAUGAUUUUGUUAACAUGUGCAUGCAUACAUACAGGUAAAGAGGUCACAGCAUUAGAGGAAGGAAGAGGAUCACGACUAACUAAGGGAAUAAGGAUGGAAGGGUAUUGAUUUCCAUACCACAUCUGUAUUCAUUAGGACUGUCAGUUGGUGUAGAUGCAAUUCUUUAUUUAUCUCACAGAGAAAUGAGGGCGAUCUCUUUCACCGACUGUGGCAUAUAAUGAAUGAAAUCCUAGACCUGCGAAGGCAAGUCCUGGUUGGCCACCUCACCCAUGAUCGAAUGAAGGAUGUGAAGCGACACAUCACUGCUCGUCUGGACUGGGGCAAUGAACAACUGGGGCUUGACUUAGUUCCAAGAAAAGAAUAUGCUAUGGUGGAUCCUGAAGAGAUCAGCAUUACGGAGCUCUACAGGCUGAUGGAGCAUCGUCAUCGAAAAAAAGACACGCCUGUACCAGCUAGCAGCCACCAUCUUUUUGUUCAGAUGAAGAGUCUAAUGUGCUCCAAUCUGGGAGAGGAACUGGAAGUAAUCUUCUCACUCUUCGAUAGUAAAGAAAAUCGACCCAUCAGGUAGCAUAUGAUUUUUCAGUGGGUACUGAUUUUACAUUGUCAGUGUGUGCUGUUUUGAUCUUGGUUAUAAAUUCCACAUUUAAAAACAAGCAAAAGAUUUUUUUUGCUUUGUCUUGUAAUCCAGUUCCUAUACUUAAUAUUUGCCAGUAUCAUUUUGGAUUUAAAUAAUAUAUUUUUCUCUGCCUUUUUUACUUAUUUCAGUUUUUAGCUGGUUUUACUUGAGAGGGAACAUAUAUACAUCUGUGCAUACAGACUGAGUAUUAGUUUUGUGACUCAAAGGUUACUUUUUAGUAUCUCUAUUUUCCUUUCUCCUAAUCAGUGCACAUUAAAACUUGCAGUGUUGCUUGCUCUGUAAUAUUUAUAAGAUGAAUUCUCCUAGGUACCUCAAACCAGAGAGCUUAGUGAGUUAUGAAAUCGUUUUAUAAUAGGAGCCUGAGGUGCACACUCUUAAUGAAGUAGUCAAACCCGAUCUCACAUCCAUUUAGGGUUUGCUGGCUUUUUUUUCAUUUGGGAACUGAUCCUGUAACUAUUCUUCUGCUUAUCCUAGAGCUGAAAUCCUUUUAACUUUUAAAUGUCCAGUACUUAUUUCUAUUCCUAACAUGUUUCUGGCCAAGAGAGAGGACCUGGGAAUGAACAGGAACAGAAUCAUGAUGCACUCAGCAGAUAUGAUUUAUAGGGGGAGAGCAGAGUUGGUGGAAGAGCCUUCUGAGUUCUGUAUGAGAACUAUGGCAGGAAGACUGAAGGAGCGAUGCCACACUCAUACUUGUACAUUGGUGAUGUAAGACUGGUGAUGGAAGACUGGUCAGAAGGCUCUCAUUGAGAAUUUGCUGCUUGUCAUUACUCAGUGUAUUCUUUCUGUUUUCUCACUACAGAAAGUACAGGUACUAGAAGCAAAAUACCGCAGUCUAAUUUAAGGGUAGCCGCUGGGGAAAUGAAAGACUAGACUUAAAAACAAAUUGCACUUUAGAUAAGACAGAACACAAAUGCACAAAUAGAAAUAAAACCUAUUAUAGUAAGCCUAUUAAUAGGCUAAGAAGUGUUAUUCAGAAUGUGUGCAUAGCCAUGACUGUGUACUAAUUGUCUUUCUAUACGUGUGGUAAUAGGAAUUUGGGGCGUUGCACAUGCACAUUAGACUGAAUUUGACAAAAUGAUUUGUGUGCUUUGUAGUUGUGCAAAAUAGCUACCCACUAUUUGAAGGAAGUUUGUACUGAAUAAAUUGAUUUUUAUAGCUAAUGAAAUCUUUAAAUUGUUAGAACGUUGGCUGCUUAAUACUGACCUGGAAUGCACUUUGGACAUUAGUCACCAAAAACAGUUUACUGUCAUUCCUGAGAGUUAAAUGUGCAUCAGGGCACAUCUUUUGUGUUCAUUUCAGUGAAUGGCAUAGCAGGUGAUGGAUUUAGAUGAGAGCUUCAGACCUUGACAGAAAACAAUUUGAGUGUUAUGGAUUGCUGAAAACAAGGUUAUGGCAGUAGUGGUCGUAUGAAAGCAGAUGGAUUGGAUUUCACAUUCACAUGAAAGCACAAAUUCUAGAGCUGUUUGUCACAUGCUGGCUGUGAUCUGACCUUUAGGUAUUGAUUCCUGACUCCAGUGUCCAUUUGCAGCUGCUUUAUUAUGUGUGAACUUCCUCAUCCCAUUACUGACAAACCUUGAAGAAGUGUGUUGUCAUGAAUCCAAACUGCCUUCUAGAGCAUGGGAGGAAUGACAAGAUGAACUUUGUGGAAGCAGCUUGUUACUAUCUGUAAAACAAACACGCACACCUCCAUACCUCUCACAAAUUAAAAACCCAGGAAGCAAGAACCCCCUCAACAAACACGUUGAAAAAAAUGAAAGCAAGGGAGUUUUCACAAGAAUGUAUUUAAUUUCAAUAUAUAUAUGGAUCAUAGCACGAGUUGGAAUGCAGAUGUGUCCAAGCUGUGGUCUUUGUGGACUAGGUAUGCAAGCAACAUAACCAUGUUGUCCAAGAGUUAAACCAAGGCUAGUUGGUCUUGCUGACACGGCUUUUGUGCUCUUGCUUAAUAUGUGCAUGGCCGUAGUUUCCACACCUAAUCUAUAUUUCGGUCAGUUGACUGCUUGUUAGAGCACAUAAAUUAAAGUCUUGUGUAUGUGUACAUAGCAAUAUGAUAUUUCGUUCAAUACAAAUUGGCAGGAUAUUUCAGAGAUCUUUAUGCCCUUGUUAGUGCUGACACAUGCAUGCAAUAGACCCUGAGGAGAUGAUGUGUGAGAAGAGACUGUGUGCGCAGUCAUUGGAUACUGAGCUUCACACCCUGCAAUGAAGACAAGGCCUACUGGCAGUAAUAGAGGUGUGAGCUGCAAAGUGUGAUACCUGGAUAGAUGUAUUCUUCUGCUAAUUCUGGAUGAUAUUAGCACGUCAAAAAGCUGUGUUUAGCAUUACCUUAAGGUCUGUCACAGCCUACCUGGGUGAUUUGUUUGUUGAUUUCCUAAGUCAUUGCUAAGGAGCCCACAAGAAAAAAGCAAUAAAAAUAGUAGGUGAAACUCUUGUUAACAGAACAGAUAAAAAGUAAGAAACCAUAUAUAGCAAUUUAUGUCCUGAAACAGAACGUUCGACAGAUAUUUGGUUCAAAAUAAAAAUAUAAGAAUAUACAUCACUUAUAAUGUAUGUCUUCAAUUUUGUGGUUACGGUAUUAGAAUGGGAGGCUUUCAUUUCUUUGGGAUUUUUUACUUUUUAUGUAAAUUUUAGUUUUGCAAGCUCUACGUGUGUACCAGGCUUUCCUCAGGUGGUGAUCCUGCUUGUUUGAAUGUGACAAUUGGAAUGCAUAAUGUUGAGCACAGGCCCAUAGGUAGAACUGCUCCAAUAAUGUGGCUUUGUGUAGAUUUCAAUCUGGUGUUCGUUGUCCAGCUGAUGUAAAUAUACAUAAAAUGGGUGAUCUUUGUUGCCUCCUAAAGGAGUUCAUGUGGAAAAAGUAAAAAGAGAACAGCUGAGAUUUAAUGAUAGAAUUUCUGUUCUGAUACUUUUCUAUCUUAAGACUACCUCGGCUUCUUAUCAGAUCAACCUGCAAGCAUAUGAUCUCUGUAUAUACUUAUUUCACUUUUUAUUAACCCCAAGUUCAUGCAAUUGAAAUAGCAGAUUUAAAAGUGAUUGGGGGACUAGAAGCAAUAUUGUCUGUGUUUUCUUGUUGAUAGAUUGAGUGUUUUUUCCCAAACCAUUCUUUGUUUUACAUUACCUGUUUCAUACAUUCAGCGAAGUUUAUUGCACAGAAAUUUUUUUUCAAGUAUCGUCAGUAAAAUGAAUUGCAGUUGUAGGUACUGAGGUGAGGCAAGUAUCUACAGAACAGUAAUGCUUUAGGAAGUUUGAGUCUAGCAACUUUCCUAGUCCAGCUGCAGACUAAUGCAAGAAAAAGCAGACUGGGUGUAGGAUUCUCUGGUCUUAAACAAUUAGCAACAUUCAAGAAGGAAUGCACUGCAUUCCGUCUCCAGAGAAGCAAACUCUACAAUCUCUGUAGGCAGCCUAUUCCAGUGCUCUGUCACCCUCACAGUCAAGAACUUUUUAUCCUGUUCAGAGAAUAUACUUUAUACUUUAUUGUGACAUAUAUUAAGACAUUAUAAAAUGAUCUAAAUCUAUUUGUAUACUGCUGCAGAAUUUGUACAGAAUAUUUUCAUUAUAUUUUGAGUGUUUAAAGAUUUUUGAUAAGAGGAUGUAAUUUGUUGACAUGCAUAGAACAAUACGAUCUUCUUAUCUUUACAGAAUUUACAGCUAUUAUUUUUUUUCUGAUCAACUGUGCUGUGAAAUCAUUUGAAAGAUUUUCAUUUUCCUCUUCCUUUAUUUUAAACCUAUCUGAAUUUAUUAAUAAUGUGAAUAAUGUGCUGCUGUGGGAAGGUCUGUGCUUCAGGGAAGGAAAAAAAUAAAAGGGAAGAGGAGGAUACUCAAUAUAAGGAAGCUAUGGUUUAAUAGCUGAGCUUCAUAUUGUAGUACAAGAAGAAGGCUGUCCUUAGGACAUUGUAAAAUUGUUGUUUUCUGAGACAGUAAUAAGAACUCUCAUACUUAGAAUAUUGUCACUGAACAAUGAUGAAAAAUGAAACUUUUUUUUUGUUGCUAUAGUUAUAGAUUGUUGUUGUUGUUAUAGUUAUAGAUUGUUUGAUAAAAGCAUACUAUAGCAACUGUGUAAAACCAAGUUACAAGCAGAAAGCCCGUUGUGUUAACAGGUCUUGCAUUUGACAUAGUGAGGCUUGAAUUUUGUCUAAUGAUAAAAUAUAACAUAGUGACAUGUAAAAAGAAUAUUGUUGUAUAAAGUAAAAGAAAUUUAGAUAUAAAAUGGAAAACUGCAAUCCUGAAUAUCAGCACAGCUUUUGUCUAAUUCUCAUGUCCCCUAUGGUUUGCCAUAGGAACUAAGUUCAGUAUGUCUUCUUGGCAGGGCUGGAUUCCUACACUGCAGUGUCAGCCACUGUUUUUCUUUGUAGAGACAACUAGAUGAGGAAAAGGAGAAUACUAGUGAUUGCAAUUCCCUUUAUAAAAUAUUCUAAGGAUGGUUGCUGUAGCUUAAGAGACAGUCCAGACUCCCUGAAAGUUAGGGUAUGCAAAUCUGAAUAUUUGAAGGCAUAGCAAGAAACCGAGCAUAGGCCUUUCUUUUCUUGAAGAAUGUAACUUAUUAAUAUGUUUUUCAACUACACCACAACUUUGCUGCUCUUAAAACAAACAAACAAACAAACAAACAAGCAAAAACAUCAAAAAGGGUUUCACCACUCCUCAUAUUUAAAUUCAGUACAUGCUCUUCACCACUUUUUCUUUCUCUAAUUGAUUGUGUUUAAUUAGAAAAGUGUAUAAUUUGUUACCAUGUGGAAAGUCUGUAAUUAGGGAGAAAAGUAAAAGAAAAAGGAAGAUACUUCAUAACAUACGAAUGUGGUUUAAUAUGGUUUAAUAGCUGAGCUUGAUAUUAAAUUGCAAGAAUAAGGUUGUCCUUAGGCCAUAGUAAAAUUGUAGUUUUCUUGAGCAAUAUUAAGUACUGCCUUGAUUAAAAGACAUCUGAUUCAUGUUCUGGAAUCUGUUCAGAUGGAGGUAUCUUAUAGAGUAAUGAACGAAACACCAAGGUUAAGACUUCUGCCAAAGCUUCACAUUUCUUUUUUUGUUUAAUUUUAGAAGGUUUCAUGAUGAAUACAUGGACUGUAUGAUUUGAAAACAGCUCUGAAGACAUGUGACUUUAAGAUCUUUGUUUGAAUUAUAUAUCUAGACUUCUGCUACGGUUAGUUUUAGUCAGUGAAGCUUAGAAAUGUUCAGCCAAUAAAAUGUCUGUAUCUUCUCAGCUCUUUAGAAUCCCCUGAAGUAAUUUUGAGCUGAAUCCAUCCUAUUUCUUUCUUGCUUUCUAUGUGGCUGCUUUAGGUCUCCACAGAGUUUGAGUCUUCAAAAUCAGAAAUAAUUGUUGAAAUCAAAAAGGACAUGGAUAUUCAAUAUUACUUAUCUGACUUCUUGCCAUUAGCCUCUCACAGUGGAAUCUAUAAAGAGAAGUCCCCUGAAUUUGCUCUUAAAAUAUUUGCAAAGAAUUUUACAGUAGGGGGAUCAAAAAUUUGUGGUGCAUGUAUGUACAAAUUUAGAAUUGUUGCUUCAGUGUAUUUUGAAAUUGUUUUCUUAAUAAUAAUAAUAAAAAGGAUUAUCCAAAGGACUCUUUUGUUAUGUUUAAGGAAUACUGUUCCAAUAAAGUGAUCUUCUGAUUGUGUGUGACCUACAAGUGCAUUCCUAGGCAAGUACCUGUUAAAAUAAAUAAGAAGCAGAAAUUAAAAUUGUGAAAACAUUAUUCUGCUUUUGGUAAUGUAUCUUAAUAUUUUUAGUGCUUUGAAUGAAAGGAAAAUUAAGUAAAUUUGUAACUACAUUAUAUUGAAAUAAUUUUUCUUUUUAACAGCUCACAAUCUUUCCUGUAUGUACAAAGAGUUAGAUAAUAAUAGCUUUUCAGGUGAGAUGUGAGAAACUUUGAUGUAGAAAUUAGUGACUUGCCCAGAGAAGAAGUCAAGUAGUGAUAAAGAUUCAGUGAUGCUAGGAGAGGCAAGGUCAAUGUUUGACCUUCUGGCUUCCAGUCUAAGGACUUCUCUAGAUGUGUAGCAGCUGUGAUGAUUUGCUUGCAUCCACCUUAGCGUAAUCAAUGCACACUUUGGGCAACAGAUUUUUUUCUGUUGAAUUUAGGAAGCUAGAGAUAAAUGUUCUUUUGUGAUCACUGCAUUACUGUUGGUAGGAAUCUUAACGUUUGUUUGGGAUGCUAUGAGACACUUUUCUUCUUGAGGCUUCUUUUGUGGCUGGAAAUUACUAUUAAAAAUUAAUUUUUUAAUUAUAUUGGUGUUUGCAAAAGCAUCAAUUCUGUUGCAUUAAUUAUGUAGUAGUAAAAUACAGGCUUAUUUAUGACUUUAUUAUUGCUAAUGAACUGUUACAGUUAAUAUUACUGUGCAGAGUAUUUCUAUAUUUAUAUAAUUACACUGAUUUUAAUACAUGCCUUCACACUUUAAAAAGCUAUGUAUCGUCAAGAGCAUUUACUUCAUGUGGAAGCUAGAAAACUGUAGAAGUUUUUUCUUGAUAGGUAUAAAUCUGAGUGAUGACAUCUGUAUGUGCUUGCUUCAUUAAAACUACAAGUGUAAUAUUGUGCCUAGUUAGUACGUAGUAACUUAUAUUGACUCUGUGUAUAUGCAUAUAUAUAUAUAUAUACAUAUUUUCUAGCUAAACUAACUGUAGGAAUGAUUUGUGUUAUCCCUUAAAUUCACAAUAAGAAGGUGAAGUCAGCCCCUGAUGACUUCCAGAGUUUUCUCUGAUGUGUUCUUCUGUAUCGUUUUGCUUUAUGUUCUUCUUGCUUUGCAAAUUUUCCUUCUUAAAAUGGGAACAGUCCCUGCAUGGUUCUUGGUCAAUUUGUGAAUGGCUCUACUUUAAUGUGAUGCAGCCAUAUGAAUUGUCUCAGUAAAACUUUGUUUUAUGCAUUUCUGUGUCUUCUUACCUUAUAUUCUUCUCUUUUUAUUUCUGUCCAAGUCAAAAGCCUCAUUUGUUUGUUCUUCAACUUUUUAUUCUUUAAAAAAGUGAAAAAUUGUCUUGAUUAAGCUUUAGUUUGUUGCACUAAUUGCACUGAGAAAAGCUAAGACAAUACCUAAAUACCUAAUACCUAAAGCAAAAUUCUGAGCGUACAUAGUUGUAGUAUUAGUUUAUAUUUGGAAAAUGUAAGUAGUCUGUGAUCAUAUUUUCUCAUUUUCUCCUGAGACUUUUCUGUCUUUCAGUUCAGUCCUGGAUGCUGCUGAGCUUUUACCAGAUACUCGGAGGUGUACAGCAUCAUAGUCUGUUCGAAAGUACAUUGUCUCAAGCAUACUCAGUCUAGAUCUGCCAAGAGUCCAGACAGUAGUUAAUUAGCGUUGUUCUAAAAUGCUUCUGUAAAAUCUGUUCCUUGAAUCUGGCGUGCUCAGCUAAUGUUUGAGAAAAGCAAAAUCCAAAGGGCUUAUCAACUUAAUACUGAGCUUUGAUGGUUCGUUUCAUGUCAUCUAAAUUUGCUGUAAGACUGUGAUGUACAGGCAGUGGUGGCCAGUGGGAGUUGCAGAACAGCAGCGGAUGCUCAGAGCCUAGUGUUAACAUCUGUAAAUGUUCAGAGGAUUUUAGUAAAGACAACCUAUGAGGUUGUGUGAUCUGAAUGCCCAGCAUUGGUGAGAGUCUGUCUUGCAGUUUAAUGCAGGAGAAAUCCAAUUCACUAAAACUAUUUUGGAUUGUGAAUCAAAACAUGGAUUGUGGAGACAACCAAGGGAUUUUCUACAAAAGCAAAAAUCUGAUACAAACUAAGCUGAUGAUGUAGAUCUUAAAAUAGCAUAUGUAAGGUGCAUAUUACAGGAUUAUAGUUUGAACAGAGAAAAUUCGUGUAGAACAUGGAGCAACUCAGCUUUUUACCUUGGGUGUUAGCCAUUACAAUUACAUUACAAAGACAUUUUCAUAGUUAAAUGGGAUUUUAGAUGCUUGAUUUCAGUUGAUUUUAGUGUGAGGUGCGCUUACAGGAAAAUACAUAAUUUAAACUCCUGGCACAAGAUAGGAUACUUUGGAUCUCCAAAAGAAGACUGGAAAUGUGUGUUUUUUAGAGCAUUUCAUAAGAGUUCAACAAUCUUGUGUUCUUCAUUAGCUAGUUUCUAAAUCUGUUGUAAUGUGUGAUUAUUUAUGGGAUUUAGGAAGCAUUUGAUAUUUUUCUAUUCUAAAGAAAUAACUGGUAGCUUUUCUUCUGUAAAUUCAGAGUGUGAAGAUUCCCAACGCUUAGAGUAUCAAAGAAUGUAGUGAUGAUUGUAUGCUCUGUGGGUAUCUUAUUUUCUUACCAGCAAAAAAGUUUAGUAAAUGAACCAGCAGUGAGGUUGCACGUACCAAGUCUAUAGUGCAUACUUAUCAGAUGACACAGAUCACAGUUUGCACUGUUAGAUUUUUGGAGAAAUAAAGGGCAUCCGGUCAUAGUACAUACUUUUCCCCUGGUUGUGCUCAUAUCAUUUACAAAGUGCGGCAGUUUGUUGUGGAAGUGGUGAUCUUAGUGUAACCAGAAGAACCUGGGCUCUGGACACUGGAGCUCUGAGACAAAUCCUUCAAUAAAAAGUACAUAUUGUUUUAUUUAUUGUUUUUGUUUGAAAGAUCUCACCAGAUUUUUUUCUCCCCAACUUUGUUGUUUUCAAGAUUGUGUUUAUUAUUCACUGAGAGCCUAACUUUAUUUUUUGCCACAAUUAUGUUCUGAUGCUACACAUACACACACAAAAAAAGUUUAGCAAAUGAAUUUUCUAAAAAAAAAAACUUUCCAAAAAUCAGAUAUCUCAGUGUCCUCUGAAAUACCUACCUUUCUGGUGUAGCUAUUGUAAGACCAUAUUUCUGUUUGUUGUACCUCACUACCCAGAAGUCCUGUCUGUUUCUUUAUUGAAAUUUGGAAACACGGGCAAUUAUCAUCCUGAGGGUGCACUGUGAAAAAGGGAAUGGAGGGUGUUAAGCCAGUUACGUGCAUAUGUUCAGAUAAGCGAGCUUUGUUCUUGUUAUUGAUGAUAUGUAUGAGGAUGCUGCUUCGUCUCCUGCCCAAAGUCCCAGUUGUUUUGCUGACCUUUACAUUUAUGUAGUGUUUGUGCCUCUGUGUGUUAUGACAACAUACUGCAGUAGAAUGCUGACAUUUUUUCCUUAAAUCUGCAAUGGCACACACGGUUCUUGUCUAGCUAUAUCUUCUCUAAGCCACUUUCUUAAUGUUAUCAUUUUCUCCAAAUAGCAAUACUAUUAAUAGAGCAAUUUUAAGGCAGCACUUUAGAAAGAUGGAGUGUGUUAAGAAUUUCCUUCACUGAUAUAUCCUUUGUGUCUGUGUCAAUAUGAUAUGAAUGUCUUAUCACAAAUGAUUGAUGCCUCUGGCCACAUCUGUGGGAGAAGUGGAGAUAAGCUGUCAUGCUAAUCCUCCUUUUUCUGUCACCUUGAACAACCUUGUUUGUUACUAUCAUAUUGCCCUCAAAUGAGCACAGAUUCUUCAUCAACACAAAGAGGAAUAGACUGCCUAUCCAAGGCAAAUAAGAGUAACCUACACAUUUUCUAUUUGUAAGCUUUUGUUUAUAUAUUUAAAGACUAUGUAGACUAUGCAGUAUCAGAGAUUAAGCAGAUUACCCUUUGUUUGCUGUACUCUCAAUCUUGACUUCUUACUGGCAUUCAUACACAUCAUUAACCUUUUAAUGUAUUUCUUCUUUCAGUCGUUUAAUUACUUAAAUCAUUGUUAUCACUUGCUGAAAACUGAAACCCGUGGUUGAUGGGUCAAAAUAUUUGCUGAUUUGUGUUAUAAUCUACUUUUUGGUACUUCAUUUUCCAGAGAAAAAGCCAUGAUGUCAUUUUUUUUCCAUUUAAGAAGGAAAUGCUCUUUCCCCUACCCGCCCCUCCCAUUGGCCCCUAUUCUGUGGAAAUAUCAAAGAAUUUUAGUGCAGGAAGAAAAUGUUUAAAGAAGUUUUUUGCAACUUCCCCAAACAUGGGAGUUGCUAUCUUUUAUGGCAGUUCAAAUAAACCAACUUCUAACCAUCCCUCUCACUACAAAUUUACAGAAUUGACUAGUGUUAAUUGUUGACAGUCAGAGCAACAGCAAAAAAGAGAGGGCUUGAACACCUCUUCAGUCUAACUAAUGAUUUAUUUCCAUCUCCAAGAAGUCUGCCUGUUUUGAACCUGAGAUGUAUUUCUUCUUUGCAAGCUGAGAUAUCAUUGUGGCCUCUGUUGAGCUAGAGCUCAAGAAGUCAGUAUUUCUUUAAACACAUAAAUCAAUGGGGUUACGCUUGAGUUUUAAUAUCCAGUUUACUCAGGAUCAGUGCUCCAGAUAUCAGCACUCAAAUAGCUAAAUUCUUUCUUGCUUCUCAGCAAUGUGGGACACUAAGCCAUAAAGAAGAUGGAAAAAUAUACUUGUGAAACAGUAUGGUGUGUUAUCUAACAUGUUACAGUAGUUAUUUAAAAAGCACAGGCGUAUCCUUUGUGUGUGAUUAUCAAUACAUGAAGAAUUUUUUGCAUGUAGCUGGGGGAGCAGUUCACUAGCCAUAGUGAUUUAGAAAUUCAGGGCAAAGAAAGAUAAGUGGUGAAGUGUUGUAGUAUGGCAGUUAUAAGGUAGUUAUUAUCUAGCAGAGUUGAAAAGUUGAGAAGAAUGUGUAAAGAGCUAUAUUUUCAUAAAGAACCAAAGGACCCAGCUGCCUAUUGGUGCUGCCUUUCUGAUAUUCCAGAGGUUCCAGUUCAGACCAACCUAGAUGAAUUUUAGCUUCUUUUUGGUUCUUUUCAUAGUACUGUCAUCAUGCAAAUGUUCCACAUUAGCAAUGUUAUUUGAAAUUUUUUGUUGUACAUACUGUGUGCAUCUACUGUUCUUUCCAGGUUCUUUCCAGACAGGCGAUUCUUUAUUUUAUUCUCUGUAACUGUAGUGAAAAGAACAAAUGAGGACUGGGGAAUCAGUGAGACCUUUUAAAAUUAAAUUUGGAAAGCAGUUUAGAUGGUGCGAUAUAUUUCUAAUGCAAAAUCUGGAGAGAGAGUGUGCACACAUUUAUUUCUACAUACGUGCAUACAUGCACAUACAUUAAUUGAUAUUCAGAUUUUCUGCUCCUUUACAUAUCUGGUUGUUUGAUAUUUAAAUUCUGUGUUUCUGAAUGUCAUGAAAAUUCAGAGGAUUGAUUAAUAGAAGGAGAGAUUCACUUCCACGGUUACCUAAAAGAACUAAUGUCAUUUGGAGAAAAAACAGAAUGUGUAAGAUUGUGUUUUAAUUGUCUCAGACUCACUUGCCUGCUCCCAUAGCACAGAAUUUCUUGGAAGGAAUUAUCUCUGACUAGAAAGGCACAAUUCACACUGGACUUCGUUGUAGCUUUUCAGAAGCAGGAUGUUUUUCAUGAAAAAAACAUGUAGUUGAGAGCGUGCUCAGUACAGUGCGUUCUAAUACACAACACACAGUCUAGGUUCUCCUUGUAAUCUGUCAUUAAGAGAUAGGCUAUUCUGCCUUUCCCUCUUAGAAUACUAUGCUUUAACAUGUGUAACCUGCACUUAAGCAGCGUUCCUUGGAAGUUAUUUUUUACUUGAAUACCUCAACGUUAUCUAUGAAUGCUUUCUGUCUUGAAGCAGCCUUGGAUCCUGGGCAGGAUUUAAGCUACAGGAGCUAGCAGCACUUCUGGUAGAGGAAGUGACUUACGGGAACUGGAAGAAAUGAACUAGCUCAGGACUGUCUCCUUCACAAUAUUUCCACAACAACUUAUUUUGCACUUUUACAGGACCGCAGCAUAGUGGGGUCCAGUGUUGCUUUUAGUUUCCUGUGCAGCGUGUGCAAGCAUUUUAAUCUCAUGCAAUACUUAAAUUAUACCAUAGUGAAUUACCCCAAAUCAGUGCAUGUAUAUCUGUACCUCGUAGAUUCAGGAGAGAUUAUGCAUCUUGGCUUUUUUGGCUAUUUUGAUGUUCUUCAUUCUUGUUCAGUCACUUAUUACUCUGUUUUGUUCCUCCUUAGAAACAAGGUGACACAAGAGGAGCCUGGUUUUAUUCUGCUCAUUCAGGACUCGUAAUUUUAGCACAAGGGUAGAAACUUAAAAAUCAUUUUUCAAGAGGGGCCAUUACUCUGUUAACUGUUUCUUACACAUUUGGAAUAAAAAUAUCUAAAUAUCUCAUAGAAUGGUUAACAGUGGUGUGUACUUCAUUGAAUAAGGCGGCCAUUUUUUUUCAUUUUCAUAUUAUCCUUUAUAUGACUGAUGUACUCACUACUAUUGGCUUUGUUUGUGACAGAGUACCUGGCAAUUUACACAUGUGGGCAAGACUGUAUUGGAUGUGAUUGUAAGUGGAAGUACAUAUAUGGUUAUAAGAAGCAGCUUGAAGGAGAAACUUGAACUUCCAGAAACUUUAAAAGCUUCCCUUCCGAAACUGUGCAAUAUUCUUUCCAGUUAUCCAUUGUGAACAGAAAAAUUCUGAUGUGCAAGAAUAUAUUCAGGCCUUUCUUGGCAGGGUAGUGAAGUAACAGAAGUCAUAGGGCAUCUCUUGAUCCUAGAAUGAGGAGACAUUCUGGAAUAGGAGUCACCAAGAGAAGAUAAGCAAAGAUGUUUCUUGGUUGCAGUCAGGUGGAUUACUCCAAAUUGGAAAUGUAAAAGUUGUGUCUCAAGUGAAUAAUGCUCUUUGCCCGAGAGUACUGGAUUAAACUCCCUGCUGUGGAGUUCCUAAACACUAGAAGGAAGAAUGCUGAAAUGCUGGCCUAGUCAGUUAGUUUGCCCAAUUAGUUACAUUUGUUGCAUUUGUUUUACAGUGAAAAACAACUCCUAGGGUAGAGUAGAAACACGCUGAUGCUAACUAGUAGCUUGACAUUUAAAGUCAAUAAUUAAUACAUUGGAACUAGAGCCUGUCAGUUGCCAUGUUCAUGCAGCUUGCCUCUCACAGUGAAACAAGGAUUUCUUUUAAUUCUUUGUCCCGAGUUCGCUUUUGACCUGAAAAGUCUGUUUGGG